UCCAUUACGCCGGAGGAGCGGGUUACGUUGAUAGUGUAAAAUAGGAAAAUUAUGGUG
rnacentral:tRNA from 1 species